GUUGAUUAUGACGUGUGUGAUGGCCAGGAAGCUAUUGUUUGAAUUGGCAACGCGUCGCAUGACCUGCAUACCAAUUCAGUGUAAAGUUGUAAGAUUGGGAAAACAAACCCGUGAAAGUGUUGUUGAAAAUGGAAAAGGUAAUCCAGUGGAAAAAUAAUUAAAUACGUCGGUUGCAGAUUGUUUAUUUUAUUAGUCAUGUGAAGCUAUGAAUGUGAAAGGAAGGUUUAGUUUGUUACACAAGUGUGACUUUUCCUGUUUACAAUUGGUUUAUCCGAAAUGUUUAACGUUCCUUUAUUGUUCAAGCUUCACAGUCAUAUCGAGAAUUUUUCCCAUAGAUAUUGUACGAUGAGACGAAGUUUUUGGACGAGGCGUUGGCCGGGUUAAAGAAUCAUUAGAGGUCGUAAUGUGUCGCGGAUUACUGUAUUUUAUGCUAAAACUGUCAACAAAACACAAAAUCCUGGUGUAAUACGGAAAUUAAACCUUCAUUUAAACCAAGGUGAAAAUGGCUUGUCAACUUUGAAUAAACUGGAACAGAAAAAGAAAUCCACUUGAACUGGUACAACCAAAAUUAACUCAAGCUUAAACUGUGGAAAGAAAAUAUGGAGAAGAUUACAAGAGUCUUAGUUAUGACGACUUUUUAAUAAGGGUGAAAACGAUUCUUGCCAACUUGGAAAAGUAAAACAAAAUUUUCAAAAUCAGUGCAAUAAAGUCUUCACACUUUUAAUAAA